UUUAACAAAAGCCAAACUCGUCGUGAGGCGGGGUCGGAAAGCCACAGAUCUUUUUUAAAGAUGGCUGGGUUGCAUUG
rnacentral:ncRNA from 1 species